rnacentral:rRNA from 1 species
UAAACUUCUUUUAUUAAGGACGAAAAAUGACGGUACUUAAUGAAUAAGCUCCGGCUAACUACGUGCCAGCAGCCGCGGUAAUACGUAGGGAGCAAGCGUUGUCCGGAUUUACUGGGUGUAAAGGGUGCGUAGGCGGCUUUGCAAGUCAGAUGUGAAAUCUAUGGGCUCAACCCAUAAACUGCAUUUGAAACUGUAGAGCUUGAGUGAAGUAGAGGCAGGCGGAAUUCCCCGUGUAGCGGUGAAAUGCGUAGAGAUGGGGAGGAACACCAGUGGCGAAGGCGGCCUGCUGGGCUUUAACUGACGCUGAGGCACGAAAGCGUGGGUAGCAAACAGGAUUAGAUACCCUGGUAGUCCACGCUGUAAACGAUGAUUACUAGGUGUGGGGGGUCUGACCCCUUCCGUGCCGGAGUUAACACAAUAAGUAAUCCACCUGGGGAGUACGGCCGCAAGGUUGAAACUCAAAGGAAUUGACGGGGGCCCGCACAAGCAGUGGAGUAUGUGGU